rnacentral:rRNA from 1 species
GACGAACGCUGGCGGCGUGCCUAAUACAUGCAAGUCGAACGCUGAAGGAGGAGCUUGCUUUUCCGGAUGAGUUGCGAACGGGUGAGUAACGCGUAGGUAACCUGCCUGGUAGCGGGGGAUAACUAUUGGAAACGAUAGCUAAUACCGCAUAAGAGUAGAUGUUGCAUGACAUUUGCUUAAAAGGUGCAAUUGCAUCACUACCAGAUGGACCUGCGUUGUAUUAGCUAGUUGGUGGGGUAACGGCUUACCACGGCGACGAUACAUAGCCGACCUGAGAGGGUGGUCGGCCACACUGGGACUGAGACACGGCCCAGACUCCUACGGGAGGCAGCAGUAGGGAAUCUUCGGCAAUGGACGGAAGUCUGACCGAGCAACGCCGCGUGAGGGAAGAAGGGUUUCGGAUCGUAAAGCUCUGUUGUAAGGGAAGAACGAUUGUGGGAGUGGAAAGUUCACACUGUGACGGUAUCUUACCAGAAAGGGACGGCUAACUACGUG